rnacentral:lncRNA from 1 species
UUGGUGUGGGUGUUGGUGUGGACGUUGGUGUGCAGGUGUUGGUGUGGGUGUUGGUGUGGACGUUGGUGUGUAGGUGUUGGUGUGCAGGUGUUGGUGUGGACAUUGGUGUGCAGGUGUUGGUGUGGAUAUUGGUGUGCAGGUGUUGGUGUGGAUAUUGGUGUGCAGGUGUUGGUGUGGACAUUGGUGUGCAGGUGCUGGUGUGGACGUUGGUGUGCAGGUGUUGGUGUGGACGUUGGUGUGCAGGUGUUGGCGUGGAUGUUGGUGUGCAGGUGUUGGCGUGGACAUUGGUGUGCAGGUGCUGGUGUGGACGUUGGUGUGCAGGUGCUGGUGUGGACGUUGGUGUGCAGGUGUUGGUGUACAGGUGUUGGUGUGGACAUUGGUGUGCAGGUGUUGGUGUGGACAUUG